AUGUGAUAGUGAUAUAAUUGUAUCUCUCUACCUGUUUGAUAUUUCCCAUGUGAUAGCACUAACAUUUGUUCACCUCGUCCACUUUAAUAUUUACUGUUAUCAUGCAUGUCCACGAUUAUAUUGCUUAUUGUGUACGAUGUCACUAGUUUACCUCCACUUGUGUAAUCCCUUCAUGUGUGAUAGCAUUAUUGCACAUCAACUUCCCUGUUGUAAUAGCAUGAUUGUAUCUCCACUUAUUUCAUAUGUGAAUCGACAGCGCUAGGAUGUAUCCACCUGAUUGCUGUUUGUGUGAUAGUUAACAUUAUUGUAUCUCCACCUGUUAAAGAUCUCCACCUGUUUAAUAUUUCCACCUGUUUAAGAUUUCCACCUGUUAAAGAUCUCCACCUGUUUAAUAUUUCCACCUGUUUAAGAUUCCCACCUGUUAAAGAUCUCCACCUGUUUAACAUUUCCACCUGUUUAAGAUUUCCACCUGUUAAAGAUAUCCACCUGUUUAAUAUUUCCACCUGUUUAAGAUUCCCACCUGUUAAAGAUCUCCACCUGUUUGAUAUUUCCACCUGUUUAAGAUUUCCACCUGUUAAAGAUUUCCACCUAUUUAAGAUCUCCACCUGUGUGAUAUUUCCUUUGUGAGAGUGCUAUUGUAGCUAUCAGGCUAUCGUAGCAACACAGUUUCAUAUGAUUCUGUUCUCCUGUAAACUCAGCCAAACUGCUGCGGUGGUUUAGAGGUUAGAGCGUUCGCCCCGCAUGCGGAAGUCCGGGGUUCGAAUCCCGUCCGCGACAGACCUAUAUGUAAGUCGUUAAAACAGUUCCAUCGCUACACGCUUUGCAAAAGGUGUGCAUGUCACGGGUCCUCGGAGAUGACUUUAAAACGGAUGUCCCGUGCCACAGUAGGUGUGACACGUUAAAGAACUCUCACUGCUCAAUGGCCGUAAGCGCCGAUCAAAGGUCUGAAUUUGAAGCCUUUCACUUGUCUUGGUGACGUCUCCAUAUGAGUGAAAAAUUCUCUCGAGAGACGUUAAACAAGAUACAAUCAACUCCGCCAUCUAUACAUUAUGUUACUCUCCUACAUCACUCUACAUUUAUGAUUAGUUACACUCAGUUUGGGACCGAUCAUCUAGGAUGUAAAAUGAAAAUCCACAUCGGGCGAGGCAAAGCUGAAUUCCAAUGAGGAUUUCCAUUUCACAUCCUUGAUGACUCCGGUAUAUGUCCCAAACUGAGCGAGUAACGAAUGUAUCCCGCUGAAGACCUUUACAAGAUUAAUUGAGAUUGUUUUGUUGUAUUUACGUCAAUUUUACCAUCUCUUUAGCCGUUUGGUUGAUCACCGUAUACACGUAUCAAAUUGAGCACCAUGUAAUCACAAUAUCGAAACAUCAAAUCGGGUACAUCCUUAAAACUGUUAAGGAUAUGCGGGACGAUGAUCACGUGAUGGAUUUUGAUUCUCCCAACAAAUUUUAAUUUUCUUUGAUGUUUUAAACAUUUACUACAGGUUGUUGAAUGUGGUCAAAUUUGGGGAAAUAUUUUACGCACAGAACUCUUGGUUUUUCUAUCUACAUCUUGUACAGUUUAGGCCAAGAUCCUUUAUUCAUGCAAUGCAACAAAAGGAUGACAUAACCUGAUGAUGGCUGAUUCUACCUGAAGUGAAAUUCUACAAAAGAAAAACACCCUAUAUAUAAGCAUUUUCACGGGCGCAUUAUGUACCGUUUGCAGUACUCUUGUUUUAUUUCAGUGAUUGAUUGCCUUGAACUUGUUGAGAUUACAUCACUUAAGGACAUGCGGGACGAUGUGGCCAAAAAUAACUCGUCAAUGAAUAUGUUUUUCUUUCUUUUUUCAUGAAGCACCAUCAGGAUGUCCUUUACAAUGUGUAUAAAUUUCAUGGUCACUUUUUAGUGAAAGCAGACAUACAUAGAAAGCAAAUACAUAAGAUGUGCACAAGUCACUUAUGCGUGAUGCUAUUGUUGUAAAAAUGAUGCACCACCUGCAUGGCACUCGGAAUUAUAUUAUAUUGAAGAAUGUAUCUCAUAUAACUGAAGGAGUCGUGUAGUACAUAUCCUCUGAUCUGUUAACGACAAGUGGUCAAUAUCAUAAAUCUCAUAAAAAAUGCAAAAUUAACAGUAGGACAAACACGGACCCCUGGACUCAGACUGAGAGGAUCAGGUGCAUAGGAGGAGUAAACAUCCCCUGUCGACCAGUAAAGCGCGCCGUGAGCCUUCUAUCUUUAUCAGGUAAACAGAGCAAUCCGUAGUCAAAACCAGUGUGUAACGAACCGUCUAACAAUUGGUAUGAAACACGUCAGGCAACGUUCGAUCUAACGACAGGUUCUAUUUACAAAUUGCAUCCUUAUAACGACGAUCGGAUUUGCAAAAUGCUGACUUCAAAUGAGACUGUUCAAACCUCAAUAACAUCAACUUAUUUGUCAUUAGCCUGUCCCGAUAUAAUAAUUGAUCAUACGCAGAACAUGCUCUCGCGUAUCGAAUCAUUCAAGAGCCAUAAACACCAUAUCCAGGUGAUAGUAGAAUAUUGCUACAUAGAUAUGGGAAGUUGAUGAUGGAGAUUUGUCAUAAAGAUGAGGUGUCUGUUUUGCCGUUAAAGUGAUACAAGCUGUAACUUACGAUAGAUAAGUAUAAGAACAAAUAGAUUAAAGUGAUUCAAUGCAUUGAAUCAUAUUGGAUCUGAAGCAGUAAACCUUUCAGAAUCAGCUGAAAAUGUCGAUUUAUGAAUUAUAAUUGUCUUUCUGACAGUAAUUCGUAUUGGUAAUCUCUGAUGUGCAUCAACCUCGGAUGUCACCAGUUUGGAGAAUUGCAAAAGAAAGGCACUGCGCACGUGUCCGAUUUCUAAACAGUUUAUCCAAUUUGCCACUUCUAUAGAAAAUUCAUUAUCAAAAUCUCAUUUUCGUGGCACACUGAGGAAUAGUACUUUCUCACACUUAAAUAGGUAAGACCAUUCAUGGCACGAUGUAAUAUUUUAAAAACAAAAGAAACGUGUAGGUUAGUCACAUCAGUUUCCAUCUUGAUAUGACCUAGGUCUCAGCAACCCGAUAAUGUUCGGCAAUCAUCGUUCUAAUGCCCAUACCACGACUGCAUCGGCGGCUCUGGUGGUUUAUACGAAACAAUCAUUAUAGGUAUGCUCUCAAGCAAUGUCCCCUUGUUUAUUUUUGCUGAAUUUCCCAUCAGAUCAUGGGCAUUAUAUUAGUUAUACCUAUAGGUGUGCAUGGGUGUAUACGGGGAUAGUUGAAAAAUACCGUCAGUUACACCUUGUAUAGCUUUAACAUCUACGUACAAUAAAAUACCAAAAUAUGAGGCAGAUGUGGAAGAGCCUCGAAUUCAUUUCAUAAAAGCAGAACAUUCAAGAAAUUGUAAAAUGAAACAAAAUACUUACGUGUACGUUUCAAGCUCAUUUCCUUGACUAAUACGAAAUUGAAAGUAGAAAAUUCUGACGUGUAGGAUGAAAAAAAAAAUUAAUAUAUAGAACAGUGAUCAACCAAUGACAGGUUAUAUAUGGAAGGUAAAGAUAACUAACAGUAAUCAAUUUCAUAACUUCUAUAAGAAAUGCAAAAUAGAGAGUUGGACAAACACGGACCUCUGGACAUACCAAAUAAGAUAAUUACUGUGAGCUCCAAUGACUAAAGCUAAAGCUGCACAUUCGUCUAGAAUUCCUUCUGUCACAAUCCCAGAAUUAUUUUAUCAUAAAUGGCGGAGACUUUGUAAAGUCACAUCUCCUUGAUUUCACGAUAACAGUGUGUCAUUUUGCUUGCAAAUUUCAUUCAAUGAUUGGCCCUGUGGUUUCAAUGAAAGUGAGUUAGGAUGACCAUGCUAUGGUAAUUGAGCACUGAAGUAAAACCUGUCCAAAACUUUCCAUGCUCAAUCAAGCAAAGUGACACCCUGCUAUUGGGGUGAUAAUACGAACUUUCAUAGAUUAUCUCAAUUUCAUCCUAGUCUUGUGGUCCUCUACACAAUGCAGGGCACCACGUUAUGCUUAAUGUACAGGUAUGACGAAAAUAUAAUACCGUGGCAAAGCGAUAGAUGCGAGACGACAAGGUAUCCCUUUUGAAGACGAGCAUUUUUCGCUCAUUUUGGGACGUCACCAGCUGUAGGUGAAGUACCACAAAUUUAGACCUACAUUUAGCGCUCAAGGCCGUAGCAGCGAAGGUUCUUUAACGUGCCAAUGCCUUUCGCGACACGGUACCUCUGUCUUUAAUGUCACAUCCGAAAGACCCGUGAUUCACACUUUUAAAUCCCAAACGUUUGGCGAAGGAGCUAUAGCUUCCUAUGUUUGUACGUCUUUUAAGUUUGACGCCGCCAUGACACAAGCGCUGUUCGAACUCAGGACCUCUCGUUCUACCUUGCCCCUUAUAGUAUGCCUAUGUAAACAUUUGACGUCACAUAACCAUGAUCAACAUAAUGAAAUCUAUGUUUGUGAAUUCUUUCAAUGUGUCAUUAAUUACAACAACGGGAAAAAAAAAGAGUUGGGGUCAACAUGUACAAAGAUACUAUUUUGCGCAUGUCGAAAUAUUCAAUCAUUGUAUUAAAUUAAAAUAUCAAAAUACGUCAUCGCUGCAUGAUGAUUAUUAGAUAAAGAGGACAAUCAGUCACAUUUCAUAUCCAGGAUAAGGAGGACUGUAGUGAUUGACCCACAUUGAUUGCCUCAUCAAACCUCGCUGCAUGUGGGUUUUAAUGAACUGAUUUCAAUUUGGGAAAAAGGUAAGGAUAGUAGUUCUCCUACUUCAUACAGUUCCAAAAUACUGACCAUGAGGAUAUCAAUUUCAAAGAAAUACAGUUCACUUAAUUUCCACUUGAACGAGCACUACUAUGUAACUAUUCAAGACUUAAUUCAUAUUUUUCCUACUACCGGUUUCAGUUUCAAAUAUCACAGUGGCGAAAAAUGUAGUUUCGGUUUUACUGUCACACUUAAAUUAAAAUACCAUUUUCUUGUUCUAAAACAGCUCUAUAAAAAUAUCAUUUUUAUUCGAGGAAUGAUUAUAUUGUAAUAUGAUAGUCUUUUAUUUUCACAGAUUAAAUAAUAGACUUAUGGCGGAUACUUAACACGAAUCCAAAUCUUAUACGUAUCAGUUCUUAUCUAAAUUCGACAUUUCGUGGAAAUCGCUGAUAACAUACAAGACACCCGGUAACCGGAUAUCUGUGCACUACUAUAAAAUCAAAUGUGUAACAGAGAUUUAAUUUUUCCACACAUUUUCAAAAAUAGAUAUAGUACUGUGUGAUUUCGACGAAAACGAUAAAUUGUUGACUUUUUUAUAAGGCUGCCUGUAUUAUUCGCCAUGUUAUGUAUAAAUAUCAUCUAUCCAUUUCUGUCCAUGUAUCUGUCUGCUGUGUAUAUUUACGACAAAACUACAUUGUUGACUGGUUUAUAUAACUAAUUGUACAAUCCUCUGAGGGGAAGCUGGUAACUAAAUUUCAGGGCAGUAUCUGUAUCCAUUAUGAAAAAAGUAGGAAACCUUUUUGACCUACAUUUAGUCUGAAAAUAGGUCAAGGACGGACUAAUUCAGCUGAAAUGCAAAAUGAACUUGCAUUCCUCUGAAUGGAAGCUUGUUACUCAAUGUCAGGGCAAUAUACAUGUAUGUAUCCGUAAUGAAAAAAGCUGUUUGGCAUACUUUUAGCAUUAAUGUAGGUCACGGACAGAUUGCCCAAUCCAGCUGAAAUGCAAAUUGAUAUUGUUUUCCUCCAAGAGGAAGUCUGUGACUAAAUUUCAGGGCAAUAUCUGUAUCCAUAAUGAAGAAAAGUCCGAAAACUAUUUGACCUACUUUUAGCCCUUAUGUAGGUCCCGAUCGGACGGAUCAAUCCAACUGAAAUACAAGCUAAACUUGUAUUCCUCCGAGAGAAAGUUUAUGAUUAAAUUUCAGGACAAUAUAUGUAUCCGUAAUGAGAAAGAGUCUGGGAAACUGUUUGACCUACUUAUAGCCCUAAAGUAGGUCAAGGUGUACCGAUCCAUGCAGCUGAAAUGCAAACACACUCUUACACUUCUUGAGAAACUGUGACUAGAUUUCAAAACUGUACGUGCAUCCGUUACGGGGAAAAAUCCGCAAAACAUUACCCCUGACGGACAGCCGGACGUACAGACGCACGGACAACGCCAUAACAUAUGUAGAACUAACGACGGGUGUAUAAAAA